rnacentral:tRNA from 1 species
AAGGUGCUAGUAGAAUGGAAUUACACUACCUUGUCAAGGCAGAAUUGUGGGUUUAACCCCCGCGCAUCUUA